rnacentral:lncRNA from 1 species
UAUCUAGAAAGUGGUAAUUCAGUUCAUUAACCCACUUAUAAAAUCAAUAUAUCACGCAGGGAGCUGAACAAAACUUGGCAGCUGUGCCUAUAUCCCCUUUGCACCUGAGGGAAGCCUGACUGAAAGAAUCAGAGCCUCUUCACUCUGCCUGUGGCAGCGUGCAGCAGCCACGGACCCUCACCAGGAUCUGCAGAGCAAGCCUUGCCUCCUAAGUUAGCUCUUGGAAACUUUUGUGCAUAGGAUGUCCAGCUGCAGGAGGCUUUUUCUUUAGUGGAAGUGGAGGUUCGCAUAGAAAUAGGUUGAUCUUCCUGAGUCCCCGGUGGCACAGGUCCCAGAGCCCUGGGUUACUUAGGGUCAGUCGUCCUGGUGGUUGCAGUCAUGACGGAGUGGUAAAUCCACUAUUGAUUCUCAGAUAUUUCAUCUACUUUCUUUUGUAUUAGUAAUAAGAUUAAAAAAAAUACAUCGCAGGAGAACAUGUGUUUCACAAAUGCCGUCAUUGUUUUCUGAAACAGAAAGGCUGGUCGAAAAGCGGAGCUGGAAAAGCACGACCCCCCAUUUUGUGCGUGGUAGGCUCCUCUUGACAUUAUGCACUGACGUGAAAGGAUAUGGCUUUCCUGCUGACUUCAGCGAGAGAAAACAAAGAGUUCAGCCUGAGACCGAGAAAUUGCUUCAUAAGAAAACCAUCUGUGUUGAGAGAGAUGGACUAAGCUGGAUCCCUGCCAUACUGUCUGGGGGAAUAUGGUUGUUCUGGACAAGAGGAACAAUGGGAGCAGAAUGGCUGAUAUAUGUGUGCACACAGGUAGGUGCGCGCACACGCACACACACACUAGCAAAAACAUGUGUGUUGUUUAGCAUACAUUUUAUACUGAAUAUACAGAUGUAUAUAGUACUAUGCAUUAGUAACAUAUGUGUGUACACAUGAAUGUAUUUGUGUACAUAUACACAUACAUGUAUGACUGAACUCUGUGA